rnacentral:misc_RNA from 1 species
ACGCAUCUCUGGCGGCGAGGGCGUGCCCUGCUCCGGACCGAAAGGCCGUGCAGCGGGCCCGCCCGGACUGCUAAACCUUUGCAAACCCACUGUGCACUUUUGUCGGCAAAGGGCCCUCGUGGCCCCGAGCCGGAUCGCAAACACUUUGUCAAACGAAUGCAAGCGGACAUUGAGCCGCCUAAACUUUAA